rnacentral:rRNA from 1 species
UACGGAGGGUGCAAGCGUUAUCCGGAUUCACUGGGUUUAAAGGGUGCGUAGGCGGGCAUGUAAGUCAGUGGUGAAAUCUCCGGGCUUAACCCGGAAAUUGCCGUUGAUACUAUGUGUCUUGAAUGUUGUGGAGGUAAGCAGAAUAUGUCAUGUAGCGGUGAAAUGCUUAGAUAUGACAUAGAAUACCUAUUGCGAAGGCAGCUUACUACGCAGAUAUUGACGCUCAUGCACGAAAGCGUGGGGAUCAAACAGG